rnacentral:rRNA from 1 species
UACGGAGGGGGCUAGCGUUGUUCGGAAUUACUGGGCGUAAAGCGCACGUAGGCGGCUUUGUAAGUUAGAGGUGAAAGCCCGGGGCUCAACUCCGGAAUUGCCUUUAAGACUGCAUCGCUAGAAUUGUGGAGAGGUAAGUGGAAUUCCGAGUGUAGAGGUGAAAUUCGUAGAUAUUCGGAAGAACACCAGUGGCGAAGGCGACUUACUGGACACAUAUUGACGCUGAGGUGGCGAAAGCGUGGGGAGCAAACAGG